rnacentral:rRNA from 1 species
AACGUAGGGCGCGAGCGUUGUCCGGAUUUAUUGGGCGUAAAGAGCUCGUAGGCGGCUCGGUAAGUCGGAUGUGAAAACUCGGGGCUCAACCCCGAGACGCCAUCCGAUACUGCUGUGGCUUGAGUCUGGUAGGGGAGAACGGAAUUCCUGGUGUAGCGGUGAAAUGCGCAGAUAUCAGGAGGAACACCGGUGGCGAAGGCGGUUCUCUGGGCCAGUACUGACGCUGAGGAGCGAAAGCGUGGGUAGCAAACAGG